GCAAGAGGAAGAGCAGAGAUGAAAUAUCCCUACCCAGAAUUUCUGGUUUGAAAAGAGAUGAAGGCAGCAAGAGGGUUGGAAGAGACUAUGAAUACUUCCAUAAAAAGAGCCAUGAUCUUUUAAAAAUUUCUGUUCACCUAUACACAGUCUUACUUGAGCCCCAGGAUCUUCUCACAACUAUCACUUUCCCUUUCAAUAUGGGAAAUAAUAUUCCUAAAAAUGCAGAGAAAGGAAUGAUGGAGAAAACAAUGGAGAAUAUGAUGGAGAAGAAGAAGGGAAAGACAACAGAAAAAAAGAUAAAGAUGGCAGAGGAUUAUGUUGCUGGGAGGAUGUGAAUAGAAGCCUGGCAGAAGUCAUCUUCCCCUCAAGGAGCAGGAGUUGAGACCAAC
rnacentral:lncRNA from 1 species